rnacentral:rRNA from 1 species
UACGUAGGGUGCAAGCGUUGUCCGGAAUUAUUGGGCGUAAAGAGCUCGUAGGCGGUUUGUUGCGUCGGCUGUGAAAUCCCGAGGCUCAACCUCGGGUCUGCAGUCGAUACGAGCAAACUAGAGUGUUGCAGGGGAGUCUGGAAUUCCUGGUGUAGCGGUGAAAUGCGCAGAUAUCAGGAGGAACACCGGUGGCGAAGGCGGGUCUCUGGGCAACAACUGACGCUGAGGAGCGAAAGCGUGGGGAGCGAACAGG